rnacentral:rRNA from 1 species
UACGUAGGGUGCGAGCGUUCAUCGGAAUUACUGGGCGUAAAGGGUGCGCAGGUGGUUGUGCAAGCUUGAUGUGAAAUCCCCGGGCUUAACCUGGGAAUGGCAUUGAGGACUGCACGGCUAGAGUGUAGCAGAGGGGGGUGGAAUUCCGCGUGUAGCAGUGAAAUGCGUAGAGAUGCGGAGGAACACCGAUGGCGAAGGCAGCCCCCUGGGUUAACACUGACACUCAUGCACGAAAGCGUGGGGAGCAACCAGG